ACGGCCGUACCAUACUGAAUAUACCGGAUAGUUAAUGUUAUAUAUAAUAAUUAUACCGUUAGAUCACCGAAGUUAAGCAUCAUUGGGCGCGGUCAGUACUUGGGUGGGUGACCACCUGGGAACACUGCGUGCCGUUG